rnacentral:rRNA from 1 species
GUGAGGAAUUUUCCGCAAUGGGCGAAAGCCUGACGGAGCAAUGCCGCGUGAAGGAUGAAGGCCUAUGGGUUGUAAACUUCUUUUCUUAGAGUAGAAUAUUGACGGUAUCUGAGGAAUAAGCAUCGGCUAACUCUGUGCCAGCAGCCGCGGUAAGACAGAGGAUGCAAGCGUUAUCCGGAAUGAUUGGGCGUAAAGCGUCUGUAGGUGGCUUCAAAAGUCUCCUGUCAAAGAUCAGGGCUUAACCCUGGGCCGGCAGGAGAAACUCUGAGGCUAGAGUUUGGUAGGGGCAGAGGGAAUUCCCGGUGGAGCGGUGAAAUGCGUAGAGAUCGGGAGGAACACCAAAGGCGAAAGCACUCUGCUGGGCCACAACUGACACUGAGAGACGAAAGCGAGGGGAGCAAAAGGGAUUAGAAACCCCUGUAGUCC